CCUACGGGUGGCAGCAGUGGGGAAUAUUGCUCAAUGGGCGAAAGCCUGAUGCAGCAACGCCGCGUGAGCGAUGAAGGCCUUCGGGUCGUAAAGCUCUGUUCUCAAGGAAGAUAAUGACGGUACGUGAGGAGGAAGCACCGGCUAACUACGGGCAAGCAGCCGCGGUAAUACGCAGGGGGCUAGCGUUAUCCGGAAUUACUGGGGGUAAAGGGUGCGUAGGUGGUUUCUUAAGUCAGGGGGGAAAGGCUACGGUUCAACCGUAGUAAGCCUUUGAAACUGGGGAUCUUGAGUGCAGGAGAGGUGAGUGGAAUGCCUAGUGUAGCGGUGAAAUGCGUAGAUAUUAGGAGGAACACCAGUUGCGAAGGCGGCUUUCUGGACUGUAACUGACGCGGAGGCACGAAAGCGUGGGGAGCAAACAGGAUUAGAUACCCCUGUAGUC
rnacentral:rRNA from 1 species